AUUGAACGCUGGCGGCAUGCCUUACACAUGCAAGUCGAACGGUAACAGGUCUUCGGAUGCUGACGAGUGGCGAACGGGUGAGUAAUACAUCGGAACGUGCCCGAGAGUGGGGGAUAACGAGGCGAAAGCUUUGCUAAUACCGCAUACGAUCUCAGGAUGAAAGCAGGGGACCGCAAGGCCUUGCGCUCACGGAGCGGCCGAUGGCAGAUUAGGUAGUUGGUGGGAUAAAAGCUUACCAAGCCGACGAGCUGUAGCUGGUCUGAGAGGACGACCAGCCAAACUGGGGCUGAGACACGGCCCAGACUCCUACGGGAGGCAGCAGUGGGGAAUUUUGGACAAUGGGCGCAAGCCUGAUCCAGCCAUGCCGCGUGCAGGAUGAAGGCCUUCGGGUUGUAAACUGCUUUUGUACGGAACGAAAAGACUCUGGUUAAUACCUGGGGUCCAUGACGGUACCGUAAGAAUAAGCACCGGCUAACUACGUGCCAGCCGCCGCAGUAAUAC
rnacentral:rRNA from 1 species